rnacentral:rRNA from 1 species
AUUGAACGCUGGCGGCAUGCCUUACACAUGCAAGUCGAACGGCAGCACGGGAGCAAUCCUGGUGGCGAGUGGCGAACGGGUGAGUAAUAUAUCGGAACGUGCCCAGUCGUGGGGGAUAACGCAGCGAAAGCUGUGCUAAUACCGCAUACGAUCUACGGAUGAAAGCGGGGGAUCGCAAGACCGCGCGCGAUUGGAGCGGCCGAUAUCAGAUUAGCUAGUUGGUGAGGUGAAGGCUCACCAAGGCGACGAUCUGUAGCUGGUCUGAGAGGACGGCCAGCCACACUGGAACUGGGAAACGGUCAAGACGCCUACGGGAGGGAGAAGUGGGGAAUUGUGGAAGAUGGGCGGAAGCCUGGUCCAGAAAUGCCGCGUGCAGGAUGAAGGCCUUCGGGUUGUAAACUGCUUUUGUACGGAAAGAAACGGUGAGCUCUAAUACAGUGUGCUAAUGACGGUACCGUAAGAAUCAGCACCGGCUAACUACGUGCCAGCAGCCGCCGGAA